rnacentral:rRNA from 1 species
AGAGCGAACGCUGGCGGCAGGCCUAACACAUGCAAGUCGAGCGGCCGUAGCAAUACGGCAGCGGCAGACGGGAGAGUAACACGUGGGAACGCGCCCUUCGGUUCGGAAUAACUCAGGGAAACUUGGGCUAAUACCGGAUACGCCCUUACGGGGAAAGAUUUAUUGCCGAAGGAACGGCCCGCGUCCGAUUAGCUUGUUGGUGAGGUAACGGCUCACCAAGGCGACGAUCGGUAGCUGGUCUGAGAGGAUGACCAGCCUCACUGGGACUGAGACACGGCCCAGACUCCUACGGGAGGCAGCAGUGGGGAAUAUUGGACAAUGGGCGCAAGCCUGAUCCAGCCAUGCCGCGUGGGUGAUGAAGGCCCUAGGGUUGUAAAGCCCUUUCGGCGGGGAAGAUAAUGACGGUACCCGCAGAAGAAGCCCGGCUAACUUCGCGCCAGCACGCCGC